rnacentral:lncRNA from 1 species
UCCUCCAACAGAAAGUUUUCGUUCAAGCUUCAUGACUUCUGUCUGUAGCAUCAACACCUAAGGCACCCAACAACAGCCCAUCAGCAACCUUGAAAACAUCCGAGCUUCAUGACUUCUAUCUGCAGCAUCAACGCCUAAGGUACCCAACAACAGCCCGUCAGCAACCUCGAAAACAUCUGAGCUUCUCUCAGAUUGCUGAGACAGAGAGUUAUUUCACUCCACCAGACGUCCAAACCGAGCUUCAUCUGUCCAGCCCGAACUUUCUGGCAAGUCGUGACAACGGACACCACUCCACUCUCCAUAACAAACUUUACGUGGCCCCACCACUCUCUGACAAGUCACGACAACGGACACCACUCCAAUCUCCGUAACAAACUCCACAUGGCCCCGAACGGUCCACUGACACCAUUACUCUCCGUAACAAACUCCACGUGGCCCCGAACGGCCCACUACUAGGCAAUUAGGAAUGUCGCUGUCAAUCAGUUAUGCUCUCCCAUCUAUAAAAGAGACCCCCCAGAUAUGUUCUUCUCUAAGCUCUAAACUCUAUCUCGAGACUCUGCUAAAAUCCCAUUUGGG